rnacentral:sRNA from 1 species
AGAUACAGGGAGCUUUCGAGCACGGCGAUUAUUUGGCAGUAUUCGUGGACCGGCUGAAGAGUACUACCCUUUCCGGAGUUCCUUGCUUGUCUUCUUGUGUCUCUGGUUCCUACUGAGGCCGAUCUCGCUCUGAUGCCCAACCCCCUAUUAUGGCUUCCUAUGACACCGACGUUACCCAGUAUUAUAACAUCCCUUCACUUUACCCUGAAGAAUGGCCAGCAGAGCUGAAUGAAAGCGAUGAUUCUGAUGGCGAAGACCCCUUGUCGUCUGGUCCCUCCACCUCAGCCUCCCAACGACGAAAAUCGAGAUAUGCUGCUCUCCAAAGGGGUGGGAGCGACCGGAGGAGCAUAGUGCCGGGAUCUCAACGGACUGGAGAUGGAAGGGAUAACUUGGUUCAAAAAGACGAGCCAGAUCCUUUGGGAUCUUCUGAUAGUGUGGUUAGGAUGUUGAAACAACGUGGUAUCGCUGAUGAUGAUGCCCGCGUUCGAAACCGUUACCUGCUCUCCUCAACAACAUUCUCACCUGCACUCUUCCUCUCUCAAACCCACUCCUCAGAUUCUAUCCAGUCCCUUCUCGAAGGCCUGGAGUUUUUAUCUAGAUCUAUUGAUCAGAAAUCUGCGUCUUUGAAGGUUUUGGUUGAGUCAAAUUUUGAACGCUUUGUCCGAGCGAAGGCGACGAUCGACAAUGUUUAUACGGAAAUGCGAAACCAAGGCGCACAGCCUGAUGCCCAUCCCCAAGGGUGGCUUUCUCAAAGAACCAGUGUAUCUGGUGCUCACAUGAAAGGAUCUAGUAUAGGAGUUACUGAACGCUCAAUUCCACAGAAAAACUCUCUUACAAAGGAAAGUGAAUAUGGUGUCAAGGGCAUACGCGUACCUUUAGCGGAGGCUUUAGGGAAAGUAGAAGAGGUGUGGGGCGCAGCGCUUGGGGGUCGACAGCGAGAAGAGGGUUUGAAAGCCAUUAUUGAGGCUAUGUCAACACACCGUGAGAUAUAUGAAAUUGGAUCUAAUCUCGUGCAAUCGAUCAAACAGCGAGAUUACGAGGCAGUCGUCGAUCAAUAUACACGCGCUAGAAGACACGCAAUAGACGCACGACUCAUUGCUGACCGUGCUACAGCUUCGAAGCGUCCUUUAUCAGACGAACAAGUUCACUUAAUCCUUGUUACAGGUAGAAUGUGGAUGGAUGUUGAAAAGCAAAUACAAGUGUUUAAGCGGGAUUUGUGGCGACGUUUAAGCACUAUCCAGGCAAAUACCCCCUCGAUGAGCGUCGAUGGUGGUCCCAUCGAGGAGCACAUGGAACUGAUUGCAACAUUACUUGAACUUGGUGUUGAUGAUAACCCAGUCUGGGUCUGGCUCCUCGGACGGUAUGAUUUUUUGAAAACUAAAAUUAUGGCCUUCUGUGAGCGCUCGAAAGUCGAAAUUGAAAUUCUUCGACGACGUCUAGCCAAUGGGGAUAAACCCACUCCUCAAGCUGUCGCUCCGUACAUUCAGCGGACUAACCGUGAUGGUGUCGCAAAUUCCAAAGAUCCACUCGAUACUGAGCUUGUUAUCGAACUAUGGGAGUGCGUACACACAUAUCUGAAAAAACUAUUAUCACUUGAAGGUGGCCUCCUUGGAGACGUCAUCGAGUUUUGGGACACCACACAAUCUUUCAUCGACGGCAGUAAGCAGAAGCUCCUCCCCGCAGGGUUCGAGGGUGAAAGCCGAAAGCACCACCGACUCUCUUCCGGAGGAGUGAGUGAUUUGAAAGAUGGAGUAAUUGAACUUGUAAAUCUCAUCCGCGAAAGUGCAGUAUCGAUAUUUGCCGAUCCUCCUAUAGAGGAUGUGUCGCUUCUACUUUCGCCACUCCCGACGAAUCCCAACUCGCCACUAACUGGCUUUACUCCAACAAACUCACGUUUCAGGAUAGACCCUAAGGAUGUGCCCCUACCGUCACCCAGGCGAGGAGAAGCAUGGGAGGACUUCGCCUUCUGGCCUCCGUAUGCAAACGCUCUUAGUGGCGUUCAUUAUCUUAGUCAAUUUCUAAUAUUAAUUGGAACGGCUGCUAGCGAGAUAGCUGCAAUGAGCCCGAUAUCAAGUGGUGGCAGUACCUACGAUAAGCUGAAGCUUCUUGUCAGUGGUACACGAGAGCGAUCAGUUCGUGCUGUAUGCGCAGCCUGGAAUAAAGACGCUGAGGGUGUGAAAUAUCUAGAGGACUGGACUAGGGACUCCGAGCGUAAGGACAUGACUAAAAUGCCCGGGCUAUUCGUGGCAUUCGAAAGUGCAGUUCUCUCCGGAAUGCAAAAAAUAUUGUAUAUAUCUGAGGCCAUGACGAAACCCGGGAUCGUCGAUGUUGUCACUCCCCCUCCCGCAAAACUUCUUCAAAUGGUUCGGUCGCAGUUUGUAACGAGCGUGUAUAAGGCAUUAAGUGGGCUUGUUGAAAAUGCCGAACACCCAGUUGCGACUGAAGGGGAAAAUGAAUGGAUCCUUCUCGGUCCUGUCGUUCGCAUCGGUGGAUUAGAUAUUUCGUCAUCUAUCCCCUCCUUGGGCGGCAUUGAUGCCAAGAAUAGGAACGUUCGAAUGCUCCUCACGCUCUCCAACCUCAAGGCUCUCCGCACUGAGUACGUCCCUCAAUUGGUGUCUAACUUUGAAACUGCAUUCUCCGUUAAGUUAACCGAGGAGUCCAAAACAAUCCGUGACGUGCUUGGCCAAAUUGACACCCGCCUAUUCCAAUCAUAUACCCGGC